rfam:Gossypium raimondii chromosome 8, whole genome shotgun sequence.
UAUUCAUAAUGUGGGCAUCUCUGUAUUAGUGUUUUAAAAUGCUCCCAAGCUUCAUGAAAGCUUUCUCCUUCUAACUAUUUGAAUGUUGUGAUCUCUCUCCUCAGUUG